AUUGAACGCUGGCGGCAGGCCUAACACAUGCAAGUCGAGCGGCAGCGGGAAAGUAGCUUGCUACUUUUGCCGGCGAGCGGCGGACGGGUGAGUAAUGCCUGGGAAAUUGCCCAGUCGAGGGGGAUAACAGUUGGAAACGACUGCUAAUACCGCAUACGCCCUACGGGGGAAAGCAGGGGACCUUCGGGCCUUGCGCGAUUGGAAAUGCCCAGGUGGGAUUAGCUAGUUGGUGAGGUAAUGGCUCACCAAGGCGACGAUCCCUAGCUGGUCUGGGGGGAUGAUAAGCCACACUGGAACGGAGACACGGUCCAGACUCCUACUGGAGGCAGCAGUGGGGAAUAUUGCACAAUGGGGGAAACCCUGAUGCAGCCAUGCCGCGUGUGUGAAGAAGGCCUUCGGGUUGUAAAGCACUUUCAGCGAGGAGGAAAGGUUGAUGCCUAAUACGUAUCAACUGUGACGUUACUCGCAGAAGAAGCACCGGCUAACUCCGUGCCAGCAGCCGCAGUAAUAC
rnacentral:rRNA from 1 species